GUGAAGACAGGCAUAUAGUACAAUGAUUUUGUGAAUGCAGUUUUCGAUCGAUUAGGCAUUGAUCCUUCAGAUAAAGUCUUGCAGUUUACAGUGAAGUUUGAUAAGGCCCAAUUGAUACGGCUGAGAGACCAAGAAGGUGUCAAUACGUUGUUACAAGUUAAUGAUGGUUUUGCCCAUGUUUAUGCGUCAAGUUCCGAAAAGAAGUCUCAUUCGGCAGUUGCUCCUAAUAUGACUAUCACUACGGUUUCAACCACUGAGGUCGAAGCAGUCUCUCUCGGAAGUGCUGAGGAAGAACAAGUGAGUGCCGAUACUCCAAUUCCUGCACCUUCACACCAAUGGAUCACUGAUGGAACUCCAGAUGCUGCUGCCAACUGGAGUGAAUUACUUGUUGGGGAAGGACAAGCCUUUCGAGAACGCUGAUGCUUUUAGGAAGAACAA